rnacentral:rRNA from 1 species
AGAACGAACGCUGGCGGCAUGCCUAAUACAUGCAAGUCGAACGAAGGCUUCGGCCUUAGUGGCGCACGGGUGCGUAACGCGUGGGAAUCUGCCCCUUGGUUCGGAAUAACAGUUGGAAACGACUGCUAAUACCGGAUGAUGACGAAAGUCCAAAGAUUUAUCGCCAAGGGAUGAGCCCGCGUAGGAUUAGCUAGUUGGUGAGGUAAAGGCUCACCAAGGCGACGAUCCUUAGCUGGUCUGAGAGGAUGAUCAGCCACACUGGGACUGAGACACGGCCCAGACUCCUACGGGAGGCAGCAGUAGGGAAUAUUGGACAAUGGGCGAAAGCCUGAUCCAGCAAUGCCGCGUGAGUGAUGAAGGCCUUAGGUUGUAAAGCUCUUUUACCCGAGAUGAUAAUGACAGUAUCGGAGAAUAAGCCCCGGACUAACUCCGUGCCAGCAGCCGC